rnacentral:tRNA from 1 species
GCCUGGCUCAGUUGGUAGAACAUGUGACUCUCGAUCAUGGGGUUGUGAGUUCAAGCCCCAUGUCAGGCA